GCCUCCCCGCCAUUGGCCAGAGCACAGAAAACACGAGCUCACCUUUAUACUCAUGCUGCAUGAGAGCACCAGGCCCUUGCCAGGUCAUCUCUUCCAAUUUGCCUGAUAGGGAGGCAGAGCUGGGGAAAGAUGGCUGCUAAGCCUCAGAGCAGCCAUGGCCUGAGGGUGGAGUCCUGUGACACAGCUCAAGAGCCAGGUUCAGUCAGGAAGCAGCCCACGCAGCCGCUGUGGCUCGGGGAGAUGGUGAGGAGGUUGGGAACUCUGGAGGAGAUUCACCUGCCAAGAUGGGGAUUUUGAGCUUAAAAUGAAUGAUGGUGGAGACUUGUGAAAUGGAGACUUGUGAAAUGUGGGUGGGUUUCAUUAGUUGAGGGAGUUGACAUAAUGGCCUGGGAUGGUGACCGCGAUUAUUCUGGUGUUGUUGGCGCUCCAACCAUGGAAAGCCCUUCAAAGUCAAUAGCCAGCUUGCAAGAGGAGAGGUUUCAUGGGAGAAAAAUGCCCUUGAACAUGCCUGUCAUUUUCUAUGGCUCUGGAAGGAAUGGUCACCUGAGACACCCACAAAGUCAAAGUCACUUAGGAAGAUGGGACAUGAAGGGCUCAGUGUUAGAACAUGCGUGUGCAAGUUAUUUAUGGCAGGCUCCCAGCUGCUGCCAGAAUCCCCCUUCUUAAAAUAAGCAACAGGUGGGUGACCUGGCCUCAGAAAACGCUGGGUCAGAGCAUGUGUGGGAUUCAUGACCACUUUCUUUCUCUUCCUAUUAAGAUGGUUCCACAUUUCUUUUUUUUUUUUCUUGAAGGCCACUUGGCUUUUGGAAUUCAGAUAUCAGAAAAAAUACUAGUGCAAUCUGUUUCAUAUAGGGAUCUAAUAAAUAAAUGCCUACAUAUUGAUUGGGUUAAAAACUCCUAGAAGAGUGUGAGUGCAUGUGUGUGUGUGUGUGUGUGUGUGCACGCACAUGUGAGCAUUUAAUGGUUCUCAGAGACUAUGGGUUUGAAACUGUAUCAUUUAGAUCAAUACCAUCAUCCAUUUGCCUUGUUCUUCUUCUUAUGUAUUGACUUUUUCCCUAUCAUGUCUGGGCCCAAAGUACUUGCUGCUUCGUCUUCUUAAGAGAAUGCAAAAACAUGCCCUCCUUUCCCCCUCUCUCAGAGGGGAAUAAGGAAAGCAAGGAUUUAUUCUCCAAAAAUUCAUUUUAAUUAAAACCUAUGUCCUUUGGACUUGUGAAACAAAAGUUGGGACGGCUCUUAAUGAUGCCUUCUUGUGGUCUGCCUGCUCCCUGGUUGGACAGGGAAGCUGGCACAGGAGCUCAGGGGUGCUGGGCAGGCCCCCUGACCUCCUGGUUUUCAGCAUGCCCGCCUAAGAGCAGGGCAACAUUAAAGGCUUGGCUCAGGCCCAGCCCCACGGAAGGCAUUCCCAACUUGGCACAGAGGCCCGUCUCAGGCUUUGAUGGCUCCCGCAUUUGUUCCACAGUGAUGACAUUCAAAGCAUAAGAGAUGCAUGAAAACACAAAAAUAAUGCACGGGGAGAAAAUAAGUCCCCUAACUGGUUAUUCCACGGUCUUACUUUGUGUCAAAUCCGGAUGCAUUUGGUUAGAAUCGAGGCCAAUGUUAGGCCACGAAGAGAACAGACAAUAGAGACGAUGGGGUUUCCAGAAGCCAAGAAUAGAGGCCUCCCGGCAAGGGAAGCACCCACAAAGUGAGCCCUGCGAGAUCUGAGGCUCUGGGGCUCCGGGGCUCUGCAGAAGGAGGAGCGAGGCUCACCUCUUUCUUCUCCCGAGGUGAGGGAGCAGGAGGUGAGGGAGCAGGUCGGGCUCCAUGGGUCUCUUUGCACUAAAGAAAAAAGGUCAAAACCUGGGGUAGGUAGCAAGGGGAGGGAGAGUGAGCCCCAGAGCCUGCAGAUCAGAAAAGCAGAAUUCUGGUCUUGGCCUGCUUCCAACCAGCUGUGGUUCUUGGCCAAAUAUUUUAUCCUCUCUGAGUCUCAAUUUCCCUGUCUGUGAAGUGCAUGGUUUGUAUCAAAUGACUUCUAAGGUACCUUUCAUUUUUUAUUGUUAAAUGCCUGAAAGAAGUUGUCAUUGUGAUUGGGUUCCACUAGGGGUAUGUGUGUGUGUGUGUGUGUGUGUGUGUGUGUGGCGCUGAGGAUGGAACCCAGGGCCUUCAUGCACACUGAACAAGUGCUCGGCCACUGAGCUACACCCCAGUCCUGAGGUCAUGUUUUGUUGUUGUUGUUUAUUUGUUUUUUGGGGGUUUUGUUUCUUUUUUGUGGUAAUAGGGAUGGAACCCAGGGGUGCUCAACCACUGAACCACAUGCCCAGUCCUUGUUAUUUUUUCUUUUGAGACAGGGUCUUCCUAAGUUGCUGAGGCUGGCCUCGAACUUGUGAUCCUCUGGCCUCAGUCUCCCAAGUCCUUCAGAUUAGAGAUAUACAUGUAUCACCUUGGUUGGCAAGGACAUCCUGCCUUUUUUUUUAAAAAAAGCUCUAUAACAAGGAAUGUUUGCAUAACAAAGUGAGCUUCUCUGAUUAAGAAUUAUUAGUUUCUCUAAUCUUUUUUACAUUUACCCCCCUAGUGUAAACAAGCCCCCCAAUGAAGUGAAUAAAAUUUGUUCUCUUCUGACGGGAUUUUAAACCACUCUCUCUUCCCUGGUUUCAGUGAAAACACAGACGACAUUCUUUCUCCUCCUGAAGCUCACCAGAGUCGCUGUCUCCAUUCCUCUAAUUAUCAAUGGCUAAUCUCGUCAUCUUUGCCCACAGGAGGAUCUACAAGCUUGGUUUGCAGAACUGUAGAUUGCUCAAUGGACCACCAGGUGUCCACUGGCCUCGAGAAGUCUGAAAACUUGAUUUUGUCCAAACUUGUGAAACUACCAGUUCCUCCCCUGAACUACCUUUCUGUCUCCUUUUCCCUUAUGUAGACCACAAUCCUGAGUGCUGGGGUACAGCAGAGUCAAGGCUGAGUGCGUUCUACCUGACUAGUGGGCACCUUCCUCUUUUGAGGGUUUUGGUGACAUGAAUGAGGAUCACUAAAUGCGCCAUAUGCACUGGACCCUGGGAUUCCGAUCCUGAGAUGAUACGGGUGCUGAUGAGGAGGGCUGGUGGGUGAAGCAGCCCAGCUCGAUUAUCUGCUGGUUCUUUCUUGGCUGUAGGCUAGUGACACAGCACACAGCUGUCCUUCAUCUGACCAAGGCCUUUGCAACAGAAUUUUUAAAAGGCAUGAUCCACGGCAAAGAAACAGUUUCACUAAAAUAUAAGCAGGCAAUAAUGUUUACCUUUAGGAGAUAUUCAGGGAGAACUGCAUUGCACCUGAAAUAUCAUUUCUCCCCUGAAAAGGGUUAAUUCAGGUAUUAGG
rnacentral:lncRNA from 1 species